UCCCUGGUGGCUCAGAGGGUAAAGCGUCUGCCUACAAUGCGGGAGACCCGGGUUCAAUCCCUGGGUCGGGAA
rnacentral:tRNA from 1 species